rnacentral:rRNA from 2 species
GCUAUACAUGCAGUCGACGAACUCUGGUAUUGAUUGGUGCUUGCAUCAUGAUUUACAUUUGAGUGAGUGGCGAACUGGUGAGUAACACGUGGGAAACCUGCCCAGAAGCGGGGGAUAACACCUGGAAACAGAUGCUAAUACCGCAUAACAACUUGGACCGCAUGGUCCGAGCUUGAAAGAUGGCUUCGGCUAUCACUUUUGGAUGGUCCCGCGGCGUAUUAGCUAGAUGGUGGGGUAACGGCUCACCAUGGCAAUGAUACGUAGCCGACCUGAGAGGGUAAUCGGCCACAUUGGGACUGAGACACGGCCCAAACUCCUACGGGAGGCAGCAGUAGGGAAUCUUCCACAAUGGACGAAAGUCUGAUGGAGCAACGCCGCGUGAGUGAAGAAGGGUUUCGGCUCGUAAAACUCUGUUGUUAAAGAAGAACAUAUCUGAGAGUAACUGUUCAGGUAUUGACGGUAUUUAACCAGAAAGCCACGGCUAACUACGUGCCAGCAGCCGCGGUAAUACGUAGGUGGCAAGCGUUGUCCGGAUUUAUUGGGCGUAAAGCGAGCGCAGGCGGUUUUUUAAGUCUGAUGUGAAAGCCUUCGGCUCAACCGAAGAAGUGCAUCGGAAACUGGGAAACUUGAGUGCAGAAGAGGACAGUGGAACUCCAUGUGUAGCGGUGAAAUGCGUAGAUAUAUGGAAGAACACCAGUGGCGAAGGCGGCUGUCUGGUCUGUAACUGACGCUGAGGCUCGAAAGUAUGGGUAGCAAACAGGAUUAGAUACCCUGGUAGUCCAUACCGUAAACGAUGAAUGCUAAGUGUUGGAGGGUUUCCGCCCUUCAGUGCUGCAGCUAACGCAUUAAGCAUUCCGCCUGGGGAGUACGGCCGCAAGGCUGAAACUCAAAGGAAUUGACGGGGGCCCGCACAAGCGGUGGAGCAUGUGGUUUAAUUCGAAGCUACGCGAAGAACCUUACCAGGUCUUGACAUACUAUGCAAAUCUAAGAGAUUAGACGUUCCCUUCGGGGACAUGGAUACAGGUGGUGCAUGGUUGUCGUCAGCUCGUGUCGUGAGAUGUUGGGUUAAGUCCCGCAACGAGCGCAACCCUUAUUAUCAGUUGCCAGCAUUAAGUUGGGCACUCUGGUGAGACUGCCGGUGACAAACCGGAGGAAGGUGGGGAUGACGUCAAAUCAUCAUGCCCCUUAUGACCUGGGCUACACACGUGCUACAAUGGAUGGUACAACGAGUUGCGAACUCGCGAGAGUAAGCUAAUCUCUUAAAGCCAUUCUCAGUUCGGAUUGUAGGCUGCAACUCGCCUACAUGAAGUCGGAAUCGCUAGUAAUCGCGGAUCAGCAUGCCGCGGUGAAUACGUUCCCGGGCCUUGUACACACCGCCCGUCACACCAUGAGAGUUUGUAACACCCAAAGUCGGUGGGGUAACCUUUUAGGAACCAGCCGCCUAAUGGUGGACAGAG